UGAGGUAGUAGGUUGUAUAGUUUUAGGGUCCUUCCCAAGUUGUCAGAUGACUAUACAACUUACUGUCUUUC
rnacentral:pre_miRNA from 1 species